rnacentral:rRNA from 1 species
AACGCGAAGAACCUUACCUGGGUUUGACAUGCACAGGACGCUGGUAGAGAUAUCAGUUCCCUUGUGGCCUGUGUGCAGGUGGUGCAUGGCUGUCGUCAGCUCGUGUCGUGAGAUGUUGGGUUAAGUCCCGCAACGAGCGCAACCCUUAUCUUAUGUUGCCAGCGCGUAAUGGCGGGGACUCGUAAGAGACUGCCGGGGUCAACUCGGAGGAAGGUGGGGAUGACGUCAAGUCAUCAUGCCCCUUAUGUCCAGGGCUUCACACAUGCUACAAUGGCCGGUACAAAGGGCUGCGAUGCCGUGAGGUGGAGCGAAUCCUUUCAAAGCCGGUCUCAGUUCGGAUCGGGGUCUGCAACUCGACCCCGUGAAGUCGGAGUCGCUAGUAAUCGCAGAUCAGCAACGCUGCGGUGAAUACGUUCCCGGGCCUUGUACACACCG